rnacentral:rRNA from 1 species
UACAUGCAAGUAGAACGCUGAAGAGAGGAGCUUGCUCUUCUUGGAUGAGUUGCGAACGGGUGAGUAACGCGUAGGUAACCUGCCUUGUAGCGGGGGAUAACUAUUGGAAACGAUAGCUAAUACCGCAUAACAAUGGAUGACACAUGUCAUUUAUUUGAAAGGGGCAAUUGCUCCACUACAAGAUGGACCUGCGUUGUAUUAGCUAGUAGGUGAGGUAAUGGCUCACCUAGGCGACGAUACAUAGCCGACCUGAGAGGGUGAUCGGCCACACUGGGACUGAGACACGGCCCAGACUCCUACGGGAGGCAGCAGUAGGGAAUCUUCGGCAAUGGGGGCAACCCUGACCGAGCAACGCCGCGUGAGUGAAGAAGGUUUUCGGAUCGUAAAGCUCUGUUGUAAGUCAAGAACGGGUGUGAGAGUGGAAAGUUCACACUGUGACGGUAGCUUACCAGAAAGGGACGGCUAACUACGUGCCAGCAGCCGCGGUAAUACGUAGGUCCCGAGCGUUGUCCGGAUUUAUUGGGCGUAAAGCGAGCGCAGGCGGUUUGAUAAGUCUGAAGUUAAAGGCUGUGGCUCAACCAUAGUUCGCUUUGGAAACUGUCAAACUUGAGUGCAGAAGGGGAGAGUGGAAUUCCAUGUGUAGCGGUGAAAUGCGUAGAUAUAUGGAGGAACACCGGUGGCGAAAGCGGCUCUCUGGUCUGUAACUGACGCUGAGGCUCGAAAGCGUGGGGAGCGAACAGGAUUAGAUACCCUGGUAGUCCACGCCGUAAACGAUGAGUGCUAGGUGUUGGAUCCUUUCCGGGAUUCAGUGCCGCAGCUAACGCAUUAAGCACUCCGCCUGGGGAGUACGACCGCAAGGUUGAAACUCAAAGGAAUUGACGGGGGCCCGCACAAGCGGUGGAGCAUGUGGUUUAAUUCGAAGCAACGCGAAGAACCUUACCAGGUCUUGACAUCCCGAUGCUAUUUCUAGAGAUAGAAAGUUACUUCGGUACAUCGGUGACAGGUGGUGCAUGGUUGUCGUCAGCUCGUGUCGUGAGAUGUUGGGUUAAGUCCCGCAACGAGCGCAACCCCUAUUGUUAGUUGCCAUCAUUCAGUUGGGCACUCUAGCGAGACUGCCGGUAAUAAACCGGAGGAAGGUGGGGAUGACGUCAAAUCAUCAUGCCCCUUAUGACCUGGGCUACACACGUGCUACAAUGGUUGGUACAACGAGUUGCGAGUCGGUGACGGCGAGCUAAUCUCUUAAAGCCAAUCUCAGUUCGGAUUGUAGGCUGCAACUCGCCUACAUGAAGUCGGAAUCGCUAGUAAUCGCGGAUCAGCACGCCGCGGUGAAUACGUUCCCGGGCCUUGUACACACCGCCCGUCACACCACGAGAGUUUGUAACACCCGAAGUCGGUGAGGUAACCUUUUGGAGCCAGCCGCCUAAGGUGGGACA